GACGAACGCUGGCGGCGUGCUUAACACAUGCAAGUCGAACGGAAAGGCCCUGCGUUUGUGGGGUGCUCGAGUGGGGAACGGGGGAGUGACACGUGAGUAUCCUGCCCUUGACUUUGGGGUAACUUCAGGAAACUGGGGCUAAUACCGGGUAGGAGAUCCUGCUGCAUGGUGGGGGUUGGAGAGUGUCGGCGGUUGGGGAUAGACUCGCGGCUUAUCAGCUUGUUGGUGGGGUAGUGGCUGACCAAGGUUUUGAAGGGUAGCCGGCCUGAGAGGGUGGCCGGCCACAUUGGGACUGAGAGACGGCCCAGACUCCUACGGGAGGCAGCAGUGGGGAAUAUUGCACAAUGGGCGGAAGCCUGAGGCAGCAACGCCGCGUGCGGGAUGACGGCCUUCGGGGUGUAAACCGCUUUCGCCUGAGACGAAGCGUGAGUGACGGUAAUGGGUAAAGAAGCACCGGCUAACUACGUG
rnacentral:rRNA from 1 species